AAGGGAGACCUAAUUCAGGUAGGAGACGAAAAAAAAGUAGUCGCUACCAAGAAUCAACCCCAAAAGGUCGGAGCGAGGCGAAAUUGGCUUUCAAACUAGGUUCUGGGUUCACACAAGACCUGAAUCAGGAACAAGGGCUAUUAGCUCAGGUGGUUAGAGCGCACCCCUGAUAAGGGUGAGGUCCCUGGUUCGAGUCCAGGAUGGCCCACCUGUACAGGUGGCAAAAAGAAAGAAAAGAAGCGAGGAAUCAGCACCUUAUCUUACUGACAUAGUAAGAGAGAAUGCUGGCUCUGAGUAAAGAGUCCAGAGGAACCUUGAAAACUGCAUAGAGCUAGGUGAAAAAGCCAAAAAAGAAGACCGCAA
rnacentral:tRNA from 1 species